CAACGAGCCAGUGAACAUUAAGCGGAGCAGACCAAAAUCCCAAACAAGGAAAUGGUGGGGGAAUAAACCGAGCAGAUUAUUUAAUUAAUGCAUGUAAUAAUUAAUAUUUUAUUUUUUAUUGUAAAUUAAGACGUAUUUAUGGGUUAGAAUGGAUUACGACUUCAAAACAAAGCUGGCCGCCGAGAGGGAGAGAGUGGAGGAUCUGUUCGAAUAUGAAGGUUGCAAAGUGGGUCGAGGCACCUACGGGCACGUUUAUAAAGCAAAGCGCAAAGACGGGAUAGACGAGAAGGAAUAUGCACUGAAACAGAUAGAAGGCACUGGAAUAUCAAUGUCUGCCUGCAGGGAAAUCGCUCUGUUGCGAGAACUGAAACAUCCAAACGUGAUUGCCCUGCAGAAAGUGUUCUUGUCCCACAGUGACAGAAAAGUUUGGCUCUUGUUUGAUUACGCCGAACACGACCUUUGGCAUAUCAUCAAGUUCCAUCGCGCCUCCAAGGCCAAUAAGAAGCCUAUGCAGCUGCCCCGAGGGAUGGUGAAGUCUCUUUUGUAUCAGAUUCUGGAUGGGAUCCAUUACCUCCAUGCCAACUGGGUGCUCCACAGGGAUCUGAAACCAGCUAACAUCCUGGUCAUGGGAGAAGGACCUGAACGAGGAAGAGUUAAAAUCGCUGACAUGGGUUUCGCAAGACUCUUCAACUCUCCCCUCAAGCCCCUGGCAGACCUGGAUCCUGUGGUGGUCACAUUCUGGUACAGGGCCCCGGAGCUGUUGCUGGGGGCGCGACACUACACCAAAGCUAUUGACAUCUGGGCAAUUGGCUGCAUCUUCGCUGAGCUGCUAACAUCAGAGCCAAUCUUUCACUGCCGCCAGGAAGACAUCAAGACCAGUAACCCCUUCCAUCAUGACCAGCUGGACAGGAUAUUCAGCGUCAUGGGUUUCCCCGCAGAUAAAGACUGGGAAGACAUUCGGAAGAUGCCGGAAUAUCCAACACUGCAGAAAGACUUUAGGCGAACAACAUAUGCAAACAGCAGCUUGAUCAAAUACAUGGAGAAACAUAAAGUCAAACCAGACAGUAAAGUUUUCCUGCUGCUCCAGAAACUACUCACCAUGGACCCAACAAAACGAAUCACUUCAGAACAAGCACUGCAGGACCCGUACUUCCUGGAGGACCCGCUACCAACCACUGAUGUGUUUGCUGGCUGUCAGAUCCCAUACCCAAAGAGAGAGUUUCUCAACGAAGACGAACCAGAAGAGAAAACAGAAAAGAACCAGACCCAGCAGCACCAGCAGACUACAGGUCAGACUCAGAACCAGAACCAGCAGCAAACAGCAGCCCAGCAGGCCACAUCUCAGCAGAACUCAACCCAGACCAACGGCACCACAGGGGCUAGUGGGGGUUUACAACAUGGACAAGACCAGGGUCCCCCUAAUAAAAAACCCCGCAUCGGGCCCUCUGGUACCUCUUCAGGCACCGGGGUGCUCCAGUCAGAGUACCAGCACUCCGGUUCCCGCCUGGGUUACCAAAGCAGUAUCCAAGGUUCCACUCAGCCUCAGAGCACCAUGGGAUACACGGCGUCAUCGCAGCAGAGCUCCCAGUAUUCCCACCAGACCCACCACCGUUACUGACACUCCCAGUGAAGCGGGAAGCGGCAGACGGCAGGCGCCAUCUUUUGGCUGCGGACCAGGAAGCGUCUGCUCCGUACCGGUUGGCCGUUUUCUCGAGGCAUUACGUCAUUCCAGAUCCUUUAGCGUGCGGUGACAAAUAGGAAAAGAUGGAAGCAAACGUUGCCCGUCUGGGCUGGUGAGACGUUUUAAUGUCAAAUAAGCGUCAAGGCACCACACGUGUACUCCAAAAACUUCUGGCACUUCUGAAACACGAGUAGGAGACGUUGCAGCUUAUAUAUAUUUACCUUAUCUAGCACCUUUUUUUCUAGUUUCAGGUUUUAUCCCCUUGCUCGUUUGUUGUAAAUACUACAUACUGUAUGUAGUACGUAGGACUGAUCGCAAUCCUGCAUAAUCCAAUGCAGAUUUUAUGUAAGAAAGACAUUUCUACAAACAGGAAAUCAGCUCCCGGGCUGAUCACAUUGCAGGGAAAGACAGAACAAUUGAACUCACCACCAUCCCAUAUCCAUAGCGCUCUUUCUCUGAUAGAUUUGAAAUGUACAGAAGCAACGUAGUCCUCUUUGUUUUUUGUUUUUUUUACAAGUUGUGUACAUUCUACUCUAACAGGAUGCGAUUGGGAGUGUUUUGGACAUCCAGCAUCCAAACGUGCGCAUAAACGUACAGGGCAGCUAACGACUAAAAGUCAAUUCAAUGGAACCCGUCUAAGUCGACCAACUCAUCAAGUCCUGGUCUACCGUGUUCUACGAGUACAAGUACUACAAGUACUACACUUUCACACUAAUGUACAUGCAAAACAAUACUAUUUUAUACAAGGUAUGCUGGGAAGCCCAAAUAAGGCAUGGAUAAGACAUCAUAUGUGUCUGUACAGUACUUCCUACACUGGCUGUUGUCUUAUCAAUGGAAUAUUACUGACACCUAGUGGCCAGUGUACAUACUACAUAUCACAACAUCUUUGAAUGUGUAUUUUACUUUAUUUUGACAUUUUUAUGCUACAAAAUGCUUCAUUUAGCCAGAAAAUAUGUAAAAAUGUGCUUAAAUAUGUAUAUUCUUUGAGUAUUAUGAGACAUAUUGAACCAUAAAACAGCAAUAUAUUUUUGAUAAACAGUAAUGAGUGUAUUCAUUCAUUCAUUCAUUUUCUACCGCUUACCUUAACGAGGGUGGCAGGGGUGCUGGAGCCUAUCCCAGCUGUCUUAGGGGCGAGACGCGGUGUACACCCUGGACUGGUGGCCAGCCAAUCACAGGGCACAUAUAGACAAACAACCAUUCACACUCACAUACCUAUGAAACUACGUGAAAACAAUAAUCAAUCAAAACAAAGGAAGAGAAAACUCUGUCUUAUCAUGGGACCUUUCUUCCUCUUCUUCAGUGGGAGGUUUCUCAGCCGCAGCUCACAAAAUGUAUCCUUUGAACCAGAAUGGAGAGAAACUAUGUUAAAAAAAACUAGCAUCAAUUGUAAAAUCCUGUCCUUUUGUGUCUGGCCAAGGUCACAAGUUUUUAACAUAGUGUCGUCAGUGAGGGAUGUCCACUUAAACGGGUUCCACCAUCUACGCUGGUCUAUGUUUUCCCGAAUUUUAAGCAUGAAAGUAAAUAAUAGAACCAAUUGGAUCAGCAGGAUUACACGGAAAAACUCCAAAAACCAAUUGGCUCAUGGGCCAAGGAAGAAUCUGUGCAGUAAAGGUGCAGAUACAGUCAUUUGUUUUAUUAGUAUUCAACAUUGAAGUGCCUGUCUCCACAAGAAGCACCUAGCAUGUUUUCGGAAACGGGAAACGGCCCCUGGGGUUACUGUACAGCGCAAAGACCCUCAAUGAAAUAAUCCAUGUUUGAACACCAUUAACAGCUUUAUGUGUUUUUGCAAAUGUGUGACAGUUUUUCCUACCAGGGGUGACCUUGCUUUCUCCAGUGUGGGCCGCAUACACAUAAACUAAAGGAUGGGGGGGGGCACUUUUGUACAUUAAAGAUGCUAAAAGCAAUAGGCCGGUAUAUGCUAAGCUAUAUGAACCAAGCUUUGUGUUAUAGCUGACAAAGCAAAUGAGUAAUAUGUUAUUAUAUGAACUUAUUGGAUUUUUACUCGAUGCCAAGGGCACGUUGGACACCCCUGGAUGUAAAAUUCCGUGUCUUCACGAGGAAUGUUUGCACAUUGAAAGUAAUGUCAUGUUUGCUGUUGAUUUUGGUGAAAAUGUCAUUUUUGUGUACUUUACAAGGCACUCAUUCAAAUGUGUUUUUAAGUAUAGUGGACAGUAUUCAUUUGAUUUUAUGUUUUUUUUACCUACUUAUUGUAAUCAAUAUUGUAAUGUACUAGAAUCAUGAUAUAACUACAUUACAUUUUUAUUUUAUUCAAUUCCAAUGUUUUACUAUUGUUUAUCACACUGUCUGAUGUCUAAUAUUAAGGCUUUACUUUCUGUGUCAGGGGUGUCCAAAGUGCAUCCUGGGGGUCACUUGUGGCCCAUGGCUGUUUUUUUUAAAUUGCACAUUCUAUAAAUAUAAUUUAACAAGAAAACAAAUACAAAAGUAGUAAAAAUCAACAAAAUAAAUGUUGUUAUGAGUAAAAGUCACAAGUCAAAAUAUGAGAAAUAAAAUGUCAUUUUAGUAGCAUAGAGUUGAAAUAUUUUUUAAGUUGUGUUAUGAGAGAAAUAAAAUAAAAUUGUAAUUUUUUAAAAUGUGGGUUCUGGAAAAGGUGUUAAGACGGGAAUAAAGUCAAAAUAUGAUGGCAAUAAAGUCAUAAUAUUACAAGGAGACAAUUUCCUUUAGAAGAAAGGUGAAAUAUUUGGAAAAUUAUAUUUAAAAAAACAGCAAAAAUGGGUGUGCAAAGGCUGAAGUUGAUAAUAAUAAUAAUAUAAUGUUUUUCCCUAUCAAAUAUCAAAGUUGCAUCCUUUCACUUUUCACUAUGUGGCCCUCACUGGAAAAUGUUUGGACACCCUUGGAUUCUAUACAGUAUAUUUAAUAAUAACUAUAAAAUGUGUCAUUCUGUGGUGCAUUUGAUGGAAAUAUCCGCACUGUUUUAUUAUCGCUACCUCCCCGUGCUUGAGUAGGGUUACAUCAUUUGUUGACUAUAUUUUCAUUACAAAAAAAAUGAUCAUGUAUUUUCCCUUCACCACUGAAUGCAACGGGAAAAACCAACACUUCACAUGGAGUUUAACCCAUAAGAACACAGACCCAAUAGUGCUUUAAGUAAAAUGGCGGGGGAUACAUUUUCUGAAAUACUACUAAUUAACAUCAAAGAUGUGUAAAAGUGACAUUUAUUGAAUGGUUUAUUAGUAUUUUUGCUACGCUCAGGGUUUCCAUCACAUUUUUAAGGCUAAAUUGCUUGAUAUUUUCCUAGCUUGUUUUCUACGAAUUCAUUAAAAACAUAUAUAAUAAGAACAGUGGUAUUGUAAUAUUGUCUAAUGUCUUUAAAAUUAGCUUUAAUGGCAAAAAAAUACGCUUUUGGCGAUAAGCUAGCUCACCUGAUGCACUGCCAUUUUGAGGCAGCUAUUUCCUGUGGUAGCGCCAUGAUGUCACGUGAUGAUCACCCCAUGCCACUUAGGGACUUAAUGAGUUUAAUAAGUCAAGCACAAAGCUGUAUAAAACACAUUUAAAGUUUGGUUCUUAUGGGCUAAAUCCAAUGGAGUUCGCUGUGAAGUGAAGACGUAUACUCUUUUGGAGUAGGGAAGGGCAACAGAUGGGCCACAAGUCAAACAAACAAUUAGGAAACACUGACCCCUAUUGAGCGAAGGGAGAACUGCACUUGUUUCCCAUUAGACUUCAACGUGUAGUAUGUGUGGUGUGUAAACUUCGUGUCUCAAAUGGAAUACUUCCGGCAGUACACUUCACUAAGUAUACUUUGUACACUGUGUACUUACUUCCUGCAAGUGUAGUGCUGUUCCACAUGCAUUAUCAUCCUGAUAAUAAGCAAUAUUUACCCACUUCUUCACCUAUGGGUUUCUCCUCACCCGCCAUUAUUUACCAUUAGUCCCGCCCCUUCCACUAAGUGAGAAGUACGCCAAAAUAAAGUGCGCAAAUGGUGAGUGCGCAGUUAGGUGCACUGAACACCCUCAAUAGUCACCAUCUUGUUUGCGUAGCUAAGUGAAGUGGUUGCAAUUCACCAUUAAAAAGGAAAGUAAACAUUGCCAAUAACAUUUCGCGAAGACGGUAAUCAAUUUGGGACAGCACUACACUGAUCAAAAUGUGUGCACACAGUUUACUUCAUGUACUGUAUACUUCAUGAAGUACAGUAAUCCCUCGCCGCCUGCGCUUGAAAUUUCACGGCUUAACUAAUAAUUUAUGCUGUUUUUUGGUUGUAUUAUUAUUAUUAUAUAUUAUUAGUAAAAAAAAGUAUGCAUGUUUAAGCUAAUUUUACAUCUUUAGUUUGCCUAAAUGAAACAUUUUCAAGCAUAAAAAGUGUCCAAAUGACUCAAAAUAAAAACAUAAGGCAGGCACAAACGUUGCGAUGAUAUGUAGUAUUCCGCACAGGCCACUAGGGGUCAGUAAUGUUACAUUGAAUGGGACAAUAGCCAGAAAGAAAAUAUAAAAAUAACAAGCUUUCCCAAUGCUAGCCAAUGAGUUUAUAUUAUGUUUUAUUUUCUUUUAUUGGGUAAUAGGAGUGUAAAGGUGAUUAUAGGGUUGUUAUAUGUCUAGAGGGCUCUUAUAUUGUAUAAAAAAAUUGAAGUUCUCUUUGCUCUAACUGCUAAAAUAUUCAAUUUAUAAAUAAGGAAUCCUUAGCGGAAAUUCACUUUCGACUGGGGAUGUCCGAUAAUUAUUAGUACUGAUAAUUAUCAGCAUAAAAAUCGGUUGAUAUCGGUAUCAGAUUUCAUGAAAACCCAUAUUUAAAAAAUGCUCUAUACAAUACAUAUGUAUUCAUUCCAAAAUAGUAUAUAUGUUACACAUAAUGGUAUCGCAAAUUGAGACAAUAUCAACAUAUCGGUUAUCGGCAAAAAAGCCAAUAUCGGACAUCCCUACUUAGGACGGUCGAGUACGGCGCCAAAUGAGGGAUUACUGUAAUCAUCCCAGAGUACUACCACUCACUACCAUGUUUUAUACUGCAUCUAUCAGGCGUUGGAUACAGAAGGCAAAUUUGAAAAAAAAAACAUUGGACAUUUUUCAAAUGCACUUUUUUCAAGAAAAAAAAAAGUUUUCUAUCCAAACCAGCAGAUAUUUACGAGGUUUAAUCCUCCUUUUCUUCCUCCCAUGACAUGACAGGAAGUAGCAGAGGACACUUUGUAGUACACCUCCACUCCUUGCCCCCACCAAGUAUUACAGAGUAUCAUGCAACUCCUAUGCAAAUAUGAAUUUUGCUUUUCAUGUGUGUCCUUUUUUAAAAAAAAACUGCACUCUAAAUGAAAUAUUGUAUUAAAAAAUGCACAUAUAUGUGGGUAAAUAUAUAUAUAUAUAUAUAUAUAUAUAUAUAUAUGAAUCGUAUACAAUCAUAUUUAUUGUGUCCAUCUUAUCAAUCAACAGUAGACAUUUUGUCAACUUUCCUCUGCCUUAAUAGAGUAGCUCUAUAUAGAAAUGUACCCGUGUCUGUCAUGAAAUGUCCUUACUGAAUGUGUUGACGCCAGCGCCGCCGUGUAGACGUACGAUACGCUCGAUAUGAUCUCAUUUCAUUCUGCUUGACUUCCACCUUUGUUGUUAACAGUGGAUGGUGCCUUUGUGUUUACAGGCCAUCGUCAAAGAUGUCUUUCCUUUUUUUCCUUCUUCAUCCGCAUAAAGUGGUAUGGAUAUUUUGCAGAACUUAUUUCUUCCUAUUCAGUCCAUUCCUCAUCUUCUUUGCUCGGCUAUCUGUUAUAAAUUAGCACAGAAAGUGGUUUUAAUGGGCGGGGCAACAUUUUCCAGCAGGAAGAUGCUUUGAUGAGAUGUGAUGUUUUGUAAGUACGAUACUCUGGAAUUGUUUCUUUGUGUGUAAAACUGCAUUUUAAAAGUGGUUCAUUACUGUGGGAGCCAUGUUAUAGGAUAGAGCAGGGGUGUCCAACACGCGGCCGGCGUGACACUUGUGGUCCACAAAUGUUUUUUUUUUUAUUGGCCCAAGACACAUUCUAAAAAUACUAGGGAUGUCCGAUAUCAGCAUAAAAAUGCAAUAUUUCCUGUAGUUCAUUCCAGUACAGGAGAUAUGUCAUGUUACACAUAUCAGUACAGGCUCAUAUCGGUAUCGGAAAUUGAGAGUUGGACAAUAUUGGCACAUCGCUUUUCUUCAAAAAGCCAAUAUCGGACAUCCCUAAAAAUACAAUUUAACAAGAACAUGAAAACAAACUGCAAAAAUGGAAGGUGAAAUAUGAAAGAAAAAUGUGUAUACAGUAAAGUCUCGUUAUAUCGAUAUUGUCGGGAGUCUGAAAAAAUAUCGAUAUAACCGGACUGUCGAUAUAUCCGAUCCUGCGCCGAACUGCAUUAAAAGUGGGCAAUAGAGCAGCUUAAAUCAAUCUUUGCUUAAGGAUUUCAAUACCAAAAAAGAACACGGCGAACGGC